rnacentral:tRNA from 1 species
GGUUAUGGCUCAGUGGUAGAGCACUUGCCUUGCAUGUAUGAGGCACUAGGUUCGAUCCCCGGCACCA